rnacentral:rRNA from 1 species
UACGGAGGAUGCAAGCGUUAUCCGGAAUGAUUGGGCGUAAAGCGUCCGCAGGUGGCAAUGUAAGUCUGCUGUCAAAGCGUCUGGCUCAACCAGAUAAAGGCAGUGGAAACUACAUAGCUAGAGUAAGGUAGGGGUAGAGGGAAUUCCUGGUGUAGCGGUGAAAUGCGUAGAGAUCAGGAAGAACACCGGUGGCGAAAGCGGCCUUCUGGCACGAAACUGACGCUGAGGCUCGAAAGCGUGGGUAGCGAACGGG